UGGGGAAUAUUGGACAAUGGGGGCAACCCUGAUCCAGCAAUGCCGCGUGUGUGAAGAAGGUCUUCGGAUUGUAAAGCACUUUCGACGGGGACGAUGAUGACGGUACCCGUAGAAGAAGCCCCGGCUAACUUCGUGCCAGCAGCCGCGGUAAUACGAAGGGGGCUAGCGUUGCUCGGAAUGACUGGGCGUAAAGGGCGUGUAGGCGGUUUACACAGUCAGAUGUGAAAUCCCCGGGCUUAACCUGGGAGCUGCAUUUGAUACGUGUAGACUAGAGUGUGAGAGAGGGUUGUGGAAUUCCCAGUGUAGAGGUGAAAUUCGUAGAUAUUGGGAAGAACACCGGUGGCGAAGGCGGCAACCUGGCUCAUGACUGACGCUGAGGCGCGAAAGCGUGGGGAGCAAACAGGAUUAGAUACCCUGGUAGUCCACGCUGUAAACGAUGUGUGCUAGAUGUCGGGUAACUUUGUUAUUCAGUGUCGCAGUUAACGCGUUAAGCACACCGCCUGGGGAGUACGGCCGCAAGGUUGAA
rnacentral:rRNA from 1 species